rnacentral:misc_RNA from 1 species
GACUGCUAUCAUUCACUAAAAUAAAGCCACCGUCCUCCGUCGUCUGCCGCCGUGAGAAACAGAGGAGUUUGCCGAAAUGGAAGGGAAGGAAGAAGAUGUAAGACUUGGAGCUAACAAGUUCACCGAGAGACAGCCAAUUGGAACGGCGGCGCAGAGUCAAGAUGACGGCAAGGACUACAAGGAGCCACCGCCGGCGCCGUUGUUCGAGCCGGAGGAGCUCACUUCAUGGUCCUUUUACAGAGCUGGAAUUGCAGAGUUUUUCGCCACUUUCCUCUUCCUUUACAUCACCGUUUUGACCGUCAUGGGUGUCGUCCGGUCCAACGAAGCCAACGGCAACACCUGUAAGACCGUCGGGAUUCAGGGGAUUGCUUGGGCUUUCGGCGGUAUGAUUUUCGCUCUGGUUUACUGUACUGCUGGAAUUUCCGGUGGACACAUUAACCCGGCGGUGACUUUCGGGCUGUUUUUGGCGAGAAAGUUGUCGUUGACCAGGGCGAUUUUCUACAUAGUGAUGCAGUGCCUUGGUGCCAUCUGCGGCGCCGGCGUGGUGAAGGGGUUCCAACCCAAGCCCUACGACAGGCUCGGUGGUGGAGCUAACGUUGUGAACAGUGGAUACACCAAAGGAGAUGGGCUCGGCGCUGAGAUCGUCGGCACAUUCAUCCUUGUUUACACCGUCUUCUCCGCCACUGACGCCAAACGUAGUGCCAGAGACUCACAUGUUCCGAUUUUGGCACCGUUGCCAAUUGGGUUUGCAGUGUUCUUAGUUCACUUGGCCACCAUUCCGAUCACCGGCACCGGCAUCAACCCAGCCCGGAGCUUGGGAGCUGCCAUUAUUUUCAACCACGACAAAGCCUGGGAUCAUCACUGGAUUUUCUGGGUGGGACCAUUCAUCGGCGCUGCUCUUGCAGCUCUUUACCACCAAGUUGUGAUCAGAGCCAUCCCUUUCAAGUCCAAGUGAAAUCUUAUCUAAAUCCAUGAUGCUUCAAUUUCAGCCGUCCGAUCCCAAACCCAAAAGACAAAAUUGGCUGUUUUUCCCUUUUGUGUUGUAAUUUUUAAUCAAACUGUAUCAUUUAAUCCAGCAGUUUCUUGAGGCCCUUUUUUCUGUUUUUUCCUUUUAUUUUUGUUUUCUGUGUAUUGAAAUUCCAACUGGGGGGGCCCAAUUUGUAAGCGAGUGCAGUGUUAUCUGUAAUUAUAUGUGUGGCUGUGAAGCUAUGUAUGGUCAAUUUCCCAAAAAGAAA